rnacentral:lncRNA from 1 species
AUAAACUGUGUUUGAUUAUGACCAUGACCUAAUUAAUUAAAUUAUAGAUCACAAACUUUUGUCAGGAAUCACAAAAUGUGACCAAUCUUUUAUUAGGGAUCAUAAAACUGAUCACCUAAUUUUUGAAAAAAAAAAAAAAAAAAUUCCACAAAUUUAAUGUUUUUUAAAAAUGCAACUUGAAAUAUUAGUAUUUAUAUAAUUUUCCCAGAAUUAUAUGAGGUAAUCAGGAUGUCGAGUAUUGUUGAAAAAGUAAAUGCAGAAACCGAAUUUUCUAUGCCGUUUGCUAACUGCUAGCCAAUUAGGAAUGUUGAAAUUAUCCAUGUUCUUGGAAAAUGGAUAUGUCCCACUGUUUCUAGAUGUACUCGUUUGCGCCUUGUAUCACAAUGGAAUCUACGAACUUCACACGCAGAGACUUGACGCUAUAUAACACUCACCAUCAUCACAGCCUUUUCCCAUAAUCUUAUGUGACUACUUCAGAUACACACAUCAAAAGAAAUAUCAAAUUGUAUCAAAGUUCGACUUCUACACUACAUUAGAAGAGCUAUGAACAAAUACGAUCAACACGAAGCUUCUGGUAAGCAUUACAUCAACUUUGUUUCCUUCGUCUUCUUAAGUAAAUUUCAAGAAAAAACUUGACUCUGCGAGGCUUGCUUUAGUUUCUAAUGGUUGUUCUACCCUCAUAAUUAAUUUGAACCGUCUUAACUGUUGCACAUCCAGCACCACCACCUUCAUAUGCUCCGGGAACACAAGGUAACCUUGAUGGCCCAUAUGUGAUGGCACCUCCACCAGUGGGUUAUCCUACAAAGGAUGGUGAUAAUAGAGGGGAUGCCCCUGUAGAGACGACAACCAGAGGCGAUGGCUUCUUGAAAGGAUGGUAAGAUUUCUAAUUCUUGACUCUGAUAAUCUAUAGGCAGUCUAUCUUGAAACCACGUUUCCCAAUUUUGCAACGAUUGUUCUUUCAGUCUAGCCGGUCUUUGCUGCUGCUGGUGCCUGGAUAUUUGCUUCUGAUGACGACAAAUGACUAUUCUUUCCUUAUUUGGGCUAUGUAAUACCUGCUGUGUUCUAUGUAGUGUUCAUUUCAUUAUUUUACACUAGUAAUAAAUUUAAAAUAAUUCAUAAUUUCCAAGUACGUUUUUUCUAAGUAGACACGAGUAAAUCUGUUCUCUGCAAGGCUCCAGCAAUUAGGCUGCAGUUCUUGUACGGCUUCUCAUUGAACAUGACUAUAAAAGGAGUAACUUGGAAUUCUCUCUAUAACGUAGAGCUUGUUCCAAAAAAAUUUAAGAAUUUUAUGAUGCAAUUAACAUUGGGACACUGAGAAGUCCCUCUUUGGUUUAAAAAUAGGAGCAAGAUUAAUUUAAGCCUAUUUGAUCCCCAUUUUUCGAAGUAAAAAUUGGUGGAAUAGUGUUUUUUAUGAAAAAUGAAUGGUUGAAAAAGAAGUAAAAAUUUUCGAUUUACGUGUAAUAUUAUUUUAUGAAAGAUUGUAUGGUUGAAAAUAGAAGAGAGAAAAAUGAAAUGUAAUGUAAUUUAAUGUAAUGAGGGCUAAACAGGGGCUUAAGAGGCCUGCUAUGAAAUUCAUUAGACUUUUUCUAACAGGCUACCAGGCAACCCUGGGAGCCGCCCACUUCCAACCCUAAGCAUCACACCAACCCAACACCGACCACCAACCCUCCGACCCCAAAAUCACACAACUCAAGUCCCUCAAAAGCAAUAAUAUCUUAAGAUUGUUACAUAUCAAGUAAUAUAAAUCCAAAUUUAGAGAGAGAUGGUAGAGUUUCCACACAAACACAAAUGUUACCUGCUAAACUCGGUUGCGUAUCAUAAUGGAAAAGCCACAAGUACGGGGUUUUUCCUGCCAGACUACCUACAGGUGAUCGGCAGUUUUCAUUUUUUUUUCCCAUUUGCCAAUGAGAAAUGGACAGUUGGUUACCUUUACAAAGCCUGUGAAACUUUCUCGUAGCAAGACUCAUCAUAAAACCAUAAUUUGAUAAAUACAAAUUUUACAGAUG